rnacentral:rRNA from 1 species
UGGGGGAUAUUGCACAAUGGGCGAAAGCCUGAUGCAGCGACGCCGCGUGGGGGAUGAAGGCCUUCGGGUUGUAAACUUCUUUUGCUCUGAACAAGGCAUGCCUUUGGGGUGUGUUGAGUGUAGGGGUUGAUUAGCGCCGGCUAACUACGUGCCAGCAGCCGCGGUAAUACGUAGGGCGCGAGCGUUGUCCGGAAUUAUUGGGCGUAAAGGGCUUGUAGGUGGCUGGUUGCGUCUGUCGUGGAAGCUCAUGGCUUAACUGUGGGUUUGCGGUGGGUACGGGCUGGCUUGGGUGCAGUAGGGGAGGCUGGAAUUCCUGGUGUAGCGGUGGAAUGCGCAGGUAUCAGGAGGAAUACCGGUGGCGAAGGCGGGUCUCUGGGCUGUUACUGACGCUGAGGAGCGAAAGCGUGGGGAGCGAACAGG